rnacentral:lncRNA from 1 species
CGGUGUAUACAUUAUGACCUUUAGGAAAAAUCUCUAGUACGUCGAAUGCUUUUGUCCCCAACGUAUGGAGUUGUGGAUUUGGGAACUGAUGUUUUACAUUGCAUUUAUGGUGUUCAGGAGCCGUAAGGGAUUUUGCAUGACAAGGGUCCUCGAAGAGCUUGAGUUGCUUGGCUAUCGUGAUGGAGAUACCCUUUUCGGAGCUCCCUAUGACCCACGGCAUGCUCCGCCACUGCCAGGCCAGCCAUCUCAAGUGUUUUCGGACUACUUUGCCCGUUUCAAGGUUUUGGUGGAGCACGCAAGCGAGAAGAAUCAGGACAAACCGGUCAUCCUCGUCGCACACAGCUUUGGUGGCAUGGCCACCCUCAAGUUCAUUAACUGGACUCCCAUAACAUGGAGGAAGAAAUUCAUCAAGCACCUGGUCCUGAUAUCGCCUGCACUUUCGGGAGGCUUUAUGGAGGCGCUCACGAACCUCGCCUCAGGACCGAAACCCCUUAUUGUCCCGACAAUUCCGCGCUUGGGUUUGCGGCCGAUGUGGAGAACCUUCGCGAGUGCCCUUUUAUUCCUCCCAUCUUCCCCGGUUUUUGGUCACAUGCCGCUCGUGAUCACCAAAAACAAGAACUACUCGGCGUAUGACUACAAGGACUUGCUUGCGGCAAUCGGUUUGAACACUGAGGUCGUGGAACGAGUGCUUUCGGCGAAGCUGAGAGUUGAUGCACCGAUGGUGCCAACAACAUACCUCAACGGCGUCGGCGUGCAAACGCCGGAGCAGGCAAUAUAUUGGGAUGGUAACUUUGAUGUGGCUCCCAAAAACGUAUAUGGCGAUGGAGAUGGGGUUAUGAAUUUGGUUGGCGUUCUUGCUCUCGUGAAUGAUUUGCGUAGACAACAACAGGCUAACAUACCCUUUAAGUUCGUCAAGAUUGUUAAUGCUACACACUCUGACAUUGUUGUUCAGGAGCAUUCGCUCAAGAAGAUCAUGUAUGAAAUUCUAGAAGCAAAUCGCUGAGGAGUCAUCAUAUGUUAUUUCUGUUUCUCUUCAUAUUAAAGAUUUCCAAUCUCACUAUGAAUUGUGAAUUAUUUUUUGAUUCGAAAUGCGGACCAUACCGGUCUCUGCACCGAUUGGUGUAAUUUGAUACUAUUGUAGAAUAUUAUUCUUUGGGAAAGAUGUCAAUGUGGAAUAUUAUCAACAUAUUGUGAAGAUUUCCUAAAGGUAAGUGAAAUUGGGCACAGCUGCCCGUUGUAAAUUGUCGGGCAGCAAUCUUAGCUGGACUCGCGUCGUUGUAUCAAUGGAUUGAAGUAGCUGUUCACAGCCAUGCAGAUGCACAUCGGCUACAUGCCUUCCUUUUUUCCGGUAAUAUUCAGCGAAAGCUCUCUGGGGUGCAAUGAAUGUUUUUGGCGGCGAUUUAUGCGCUGGGAGAAUGGCAAUUCUUUCAUGCGAACACGACAAAUUUCACGGAAAAAUUCUCUGGUAAGAAGCUUCCAUGUGUAUGUGAAGAAUUUGUCAUAGAAAACGUUCACAAUUGUCAUGCACCAUCUCGAACGUUCGGCGGCUAUUGACAUCUUUUUGUUGGCAGAAACCCAGCCAGAAUCAGUGUCACCAAGCGUUUACUGUUCCGUGGCAAAUGUCUUCGUCAGAAAAUAACACUCACACGCUCCUCAACGUAUCCAUGCACGCUACUUGCAAUUAGCGUUGUAUUUAAAAAAUAUGCUCAAAUAUAUACGCAUGCACACUUACCUCAUAUAAACAUAUGAUCCUAUAAGCACCACUCCUGCGUGUACUUUGUGUAUCAUAUUGAAUGAAUAAUCAGGCAUGGAGCAGGAGAUCAUAACCCACUUCAAGGGAGUCCAUAUUCCCAAGGGAUUAAAUUGUCUCUCCAAAUAUUAAUCGUCUAAACUUAGUGAAUCGUCCACAUAACUUUUCUUUUUUGCAGGAAGACUUCCCGACUGUUAUCGACAUGGUCAGGCCGGCUACGGUAUGGGAGCGGUGACAGUGGCUCGUCACCUGCUUGUUUUGGCAGCGGCAAUGGUCGUUCCGUGGUCCAUAGACCUCGAUGUAGUUUUUAUGAUGAUUGAGGUGCUUUGUAUUUUCGGUGAAUCUUUAUAAUAGAUGCGCUCUUUUCGUAAAAAAAUAGAUUUUGUGCAAUUACAAUAAUUAGUAAAAAAUUGAUAUUAAUUGAAAUAAAAAGGUACAUUGUAUGGUCGAACUCACAAAGGUAAGAUCUUAAUUGAUUAAUUUUCCCAAAUGAUAAGUGCCACACGCGUGGCAUGAAACAAUCUGGACCUGAUGUUUUUUACAACUAAAAUUAUCAUCUAAAAAAGAAAAAAAAGAAAAAAAGAAACUUGCUUCUAAACAGAAAGUUGACAUGCUUGACAAUUAAAAUUGCCAUCCUCACAUCACUAAACGUGGCAUAAAAAACGUUCGAAGUUGCCAUGUGUUCGUGCCACACGUGUAACACUUAUGUGGCGCGCCAGCGUUCCAACACUCGUUUUCCAACAGGCUUCAAUUUGGAAAGUAACUUAACUAUGUGGAUUAAUUAGGGGCAAUUAAUUAGAGGCGCCCCCUGAAAAUCAAAGGGGCGGUGAUUACUGUUGAUUUGGGUGGGUCCGCCUCCCUCUUGCCUUACCUAGCCUUUGCAUGUGUGUGCGCUGGAAGUCUCACGUGAUGGGCCUUGAUGGAAAGACUUGUUGGCUGAUUAGUUGCGUUGGAUUAGAUCGCUCGCUGCAACGGCCGCUAGGAAGUCGUUUCACCUUAAUUUUUGAUCUAUAAUAUUAUACAACUAACAUAAAAUGAAAAUACAUCAUACUUAUGAGAAUCAAUAUCUAGAAGACUAGAUAAAUAUAAUGUGAACGUAUAUUUCAUGAUGGAUCUUAUGUGAGUAAUUUGGUUUCAUAGACGUUGGUGUAUAUUGUUUUUAUAAACCUGGACAAACUUAUACAAAAUUGACUUGGAACAAGUUUUACUUAGUACGUAAAAAAUUGAAAUGACAAUUGAUUCGAAAUAGAGGGAGUGUGUUGUAACUGCAAUUUACAUUAUUUUUUUGAACACAGUACAGAUGCAAGCGCUCAUAUACACAUGCAUACACUCAACCAUAUGAACGCACACACGCACACCCUACCCCUAUGAACACCUCCGAAAGACUGAGCCGGCAUAUUACCUUGAAAUUUACGAAGUCACCGUAGGCACCUCGCCAUCGACGGGAACGUCUCCUUCCACCGAAUACGCUUCGCCGGAAAUCCUGGAUUAGUCCUGGUGGGCUGGGGAUACCACAGUCCCUCUAACCAUACAUUUUUUCCCCUUCUUUAUUGUUCUCCAUUAGUACUCCUUAAUUUACUUCCUCGUUUGGAUGAGGAGGCAAGUCUUAACGUUGAAGUACUGCCUUCUAUAGUCUUACCUACCCAGACGUAAUUUUAGGCAAAUAUUAAAAACUUUCCAAACAUUAAAGAUGAUUAAUUACCACUAGUAAUCUAUAUAAAGCCGAGCAUCCAAUAGAUCGAUGUUGGCACUCGCUUGUGUAGCGCACCACCGUAUUGUCUGAUGGCGAUUGUCUCGCCGUCUGCUGAUCUUGUAGCGCUACUCACCUUCCUCAUCUGCCUCAUCCAUCGUUGUGGCGCAGGAGGCUAUGACGCCGAGCUCUACCACCCGGUAAUCUUGAUCCCUGGUUUCACUUGCCCCAACCUGGAGGCGUGGCUGGCCAACACCUACGCGCCGUCGUUGCCCCGCUGCGGCGAGCUCAAGGGGAAGGGGUGGUUCCCGCUGUGGAAAAACACGACGGACCUGGUCCGGCAGGACUACGUGCCGUGCUUCGAGGAGCAGAUGCGCCUCGUCUAUGACCCCGUCCUCAACGACUACCGGAACUUGCCCGGCGUCGAGACCCGCGUGCCGGACUUCGGCUCCGCCCACGGGUUCACCUCCAAGAACGAUUCGUAAGUACGCAUUAUGUCCAAGCACUCCGUCCAUUGGAUUUGUUAUUACAGGUAGUGCAUACAUAUGCACAGCUGAAAACUCUGUAGUGCAUACAUAUACACUACAGGUAGUGCAUACAUAUGCACGGAUGACGUUUUCUUCCUCUACUGUUAGAGGUCUGGAUCUGGAAACUGAUGAUCUUUGCGUUGCAUUCGUGGUAAUCAGGAGCCGUAUCCCAACUUGUCUGGCAAGGGUCCGCGAAGAGCUUGAGUUGCUUGGGUAUCGUGAUGGUGAUACCCUUUUCGGAGCUCCCUACGACCCACGGCACGCUCCGCCGCUGCCGGGGCAACCAUCUCAGGUGUACUCCGACUAUUUUGCUCAUGUCAAGGACCUGGUGGAGCGCGCGAGCGAGAAGAAUCAAAACAAGCCGGUCAUCCUCGUUGCGCACAGCUUUGGUGGCAAGGUCAUCCUCGGGUUCGUCAACUCGACUCCCAUGGCAUGGAGGAAGAAAUUCAUCAAGCACCUGGUCCUCGUAUCGCCCACACCUCCGGAAGGUUUCCUGGGGGUGCUCACAAGCCUCGCCUCGGGACCGUCCUUCAUCGUCCCAUCGGUUCCGCCGCUGCUUCUGCGGCAAAUGUGGAGAACCUU